rnacentral:rRNA from 1 species
GAUGAACGCUGGCGGCGUGCCUAACACAUGCAAGUCGAGCGAACAGACGAGGAUCUUGCUCCUCUGUCGUUAGCGGCGGACGGGUGAGUCACACGUGUAUAACCUACCUAUAAGACUGAGAUAACUACGGGAAACCGGAUCUAAUACCGGAUAAUAUAUUGAACCGCAUGGUUCAAUAGUGAAAGACGGUUUUGCUGUCACUUAUAGAUGGUUCCGGGCCGCAUUAGCUAGUUGGUAAGGUAACGGCUUUCCAAGGCGACGAUGGGUAUCCGACCUGAGAGGGUGAUCGGCCACCUGGGAAGUGAGACACGGUCCAGACUCCUACGGGAGGCAGCAGUCGGGAAUCUUGCGCAAUGGGGGAAAGCUUGACGGAGCAACGCGGCGUGAGUGAUGAAGGUCCUCGGAGCGGAAAGCUCUGUUAGUAGGGAAGAACAAAUGUGUAAGUAACUAUGGACGUCUUGACGGUACCUAAUCAAGAAGCCCCGGCUAACUACGUG